GUUUACAGCUGGGCAGACUCAUUGACCAAAAGAAAUACACACCAGAGAUGAUCUCCAUGCUGAAACGAAACUCGUGUGGGAAAGCCCUGGACAUCGCCAGGCAGGCCAGAGACAUGCUGGGAGGAAACGGCAUAGCAGACGAAUACCACAUCAUACGCCAUGUCUUGAACCUAGAGGCCGUCAACACAUAUGAAGGCACUCAUGACAUCCAUGCUUUGAUCUUGGGCAGAGCCAUCACUGGACUCCAGUCUUUUACUGUUG